rnacentral:tRNA from 1 species
GAAUUAUGAUAAUAUUUAAGCUGCUAACUUAAAAUAAAAUGUUUUAAACCAUUUAUAAUUCU